rnacentral:rRNA from 1 species
AGGAUAAACGCUGGCGGCGUGCCUAAAACAUGCAAGUCGAACGGACCCUUCGGGUUAGUGGCGAACGGCUGAGUAACACGUGGGUGACCUGCCUUCGAACGGGGGAUAACUGCCCGAAAGGGUGCUAAUACCGCAGAUGUCGUUUCUUCGGUGAGAUGACUGAACCGAUUUAGGGUUCGGAGAGGGGCCUGCGUCCGAUUAGCUAGCUGGUGGGUAACGGCCUACCAGGGCGACGAUCGGUAGCUGGUCUGAGAGGAUGAUCAGCCAGACGUGGACUGCGAGGACGGCCCAGACCGUCCGUACGGGAGCAGCAGGUUAGGAAUUUUGGGACAAGUGGACGAAAGCC